ensembl:lncRNA
AUGGAAAUCAAAACAGACAAAAUAGGGGAGGGAGGGAAGGGAGCCCAGUCAGCCAACAGGAAAACCCAAGCAGUUAUUAAAAGGGACCAGGGAGGGGCGGGAGGGCUGAGCCAAGGAGGCUCAGGCAGUCCAGGAGUCCCAGCAGUGGGCCAGGGUGGAGCCGGAGGAACGAGCCAGCAAGGAUCUGGCCUAACAGGAACCCCGGCAGACCAGCAGGGCGGAACCAGUGGGAGAGACCAAGAGGGCUCCGGCUUAACAGAAACCCCGACAGACCACCAGGGCGGUGCCGGAGGGACAGACCAGCGAGGCUCCGGCCUAACAGGAACCCCAGCAGACCACCAGGGCGGAGCAGGAGGGACAGACCAGCGAGGAUCCGGCCUAACAGGAACCCCGGCAGACCAGCAGGGCGGAACCAGUGGGAGAGACCAAGAGGGCUCCGGCUUAACAGAAACCCCGACAGACCACCAGGGCGGUGCCGGAGGGACAGACCAGCGAGGCUCCGGCCUAACAGGAACCCCGGCAGACCACCAGGGCGGAGCAGGAGGGACAGACCAGCGAGGAUCCGGCCUAACAGGAACCCCGGCAGACCACCAGGGCAGAACCAGACGGAGAGACCAGGAGGCCUCCAGCCAAACAGGGACCCCAACAGAUAGCAAGGGCAAAACCGGCAAGGCACUCAAUGGCGGAGCCAGCAUCAGGGCAAGGAGCUUUGACAGAGCCGGCAUCAAGGCAAGGAACUUGGGCAGGGGUGGCGCCGGCAGGGAAAGGAGCUUGGGCAGGGGCGGCGCCGGCAGGGCAAGGAGCUUGGGCGGCGCCGGCAGGGCAAGGAGCUUGGGCGGCGCCGGCAGGGCAAGGAGCUUGGGCAUGACUGGAAUGUUCUCCAGACCAGCAGUGGGCUCCCGAAUGGCCUCCGGGCCAUGUGGGAUGGAGGAAGCCUUUCUUCUCCUCCUCCAUUUCCGAGACCGGGGCGCUGCAGCCUCAUCAGGCACCUCUGGGGGCGCUGCAGCCUCAUCAGGCACCUCUGGGGGCGCUGCAGCCUCAUCAGGCACCUCUGGGGGCGGCAGGGCAGAGCCAUUCCUCUUCCUUCCCCUCCUCCGUCUACGAGAGUGA